CCAUUUAACUAUUUAUUUGACCAUGCCAAACCCCACAAAGCCAAUGUAAUCAAACAAAUACUUCUGAUUUUAUUUAAUACUUUGAAUAAUGAAAAACUUUAUACAACUAAGGAAGAAAAAAAUACAAGGUUAUUUGACCAUUGCAUCGAGGGCUAUUUGACCACUCAAUUUUAACAUCUCCCACUUGGCCAAUUAGGCCGAGAUCAUUAUUCUUUAAUACCCA
rnacentral:lncRNA from 1 species